CCUACGGGUGGCAGCAGUGGGGAAUAUUGGGCAAUGGGCGCAAGCCUGACCCAGCAACGCCGCGUGAAGGAAGAAGGCUUUCGGGUUGUAAACUUCCUUUAAGAGGGAAGAGAAGACGACGGUACCUCUUGAAUAAGCAACGGCUAACUACGUGCCAGCAGCCGCCGGAGUACGUAGGUGGCAAGCGUUGACCGGAUUUUCGGGGUGUAAAGGGCGUGCAGCCGGGCUGACAAGUCAGGUGUGAAAUCCCGGGGGUCAACCGCGGGACUGCAUUUGAAACUGUCAGUCUGGAGUACCGGAGAGGUCAGCGGAAUUCCUGGUGUAGCGGUGAAAUGCGUAGAUAUAAGGAAGAACACCAGUGGCGAAGGCGGAUGACUGGACGGCAACUGACGGUGAGGCGCGAAAGCGUGGGGAGCGAACAGGAUUAGAUACCCUGGUAGUC
rnacentral:rRNA from 1 species